AGCUCCAAUAGCGUAUAUUAAAGUUGUUGCGGUUAAAAAGCUCGUAGUUGGAUUUCUGUUGAAGACUGUCGGUCUGCUCUAUGAGCAUGUAUCUGAUGUGGCUUCGGCAUCCUCUUGAGGUGUGCUUAUGCGCUUGAUUGCGUGGGGCAGGCCCCAAGACUUUUACUUUGAGGAAAUUAGAGUGUUCACGGCAGGCAAGCGUCAUGAAUAUAUUAGCAUGGAAUAAUAAUAUAGGACUUUGGUUCUAUUUUGUUGGUUUCUAGAACUAAAGUAAUGAUUAAUAGGGAUAAUUGGGGGCAUUUGUACUAUCGAGUCAGAGGUGGAAUUCUUGGAUUUCGAUAUGACAAACUACUGCGAAAGCAUUUGCCAAGGAUG
rnacentral:rRNA from 1 species